rnacentral:misc_RNA from 1 species
UUUGAUAGCUAGUGUUUGUAGGCUCCGUGCUCGCGCAUCAAACUACAUACCACCUAUCCUUCUCAGUUGCUUCGCGAGCAAAAUUAAGCUCGUUGACGAGAUCUGGGGCUUGUGUUGCGUACCUAACUAGAAGGAAUUGUUGAGUUUGGCUUCACACGUUGUUCAUGGCAUCUCCCUCAACGGGGGAAGUCGUGAACACAAUAAUCGGCUCUUGUGAUCCUUGCGUCCUGGCACCAAAAAUGCUGUGUUCGCAAAGGUGGACAAGAUGUCGGUUGAAAUCUCGGAUGCGGAAAGAUUAUGGACGGUGACUAGAAGUUAUUUUGUUCCUCCAAAGCACGUUUGUCCUCGGUC